UGGGAAUUCUGUUAACAAAUCA
rnacentral:piRNA from 1 species